CCCUGGGGUAGAGAGGCUGUUUCCAAAUAGACCCCCGGCUUCCUUCCCUCCAAGAACUUCCCACCUUUGCUCUUGGGGAGACUCGAACUCACAACCUCUUGGUUGGAAGUGGGGGUUGCUUACCAUCAGAGCAAGAUCAUCACAAACUGCCCAAGGACCUUCCAUCAAUCCCCUCACUGCACCAAUUUCUCUCCAUACGAUAUUCCUUUCAAUUCUGCAAUUUGGGGUAUACACUCCUGUUAUGUGACAUUGAAAAUUCUGUAAAAGAGCCUCGAACUUGCAAGUCAAAGUAUAUGCACAAGUUUGUAACAUCUCCCCUUUCCAU
rnacentral:lncRNA from 1 species